rnacentral:rRNA from 1 species
AUUGAACGCUGGCGGCAUGCCUUACACAUGCAAGUCGAACGGUAACAGGUCUUCGGAUGCUGACGAGUGGCGAACGGGUGAGUAAUACAUCGGAACGUGCCCGAUCGUGGGGGAUAACGGAGCGGAAGCUUUGCUAAUACCGCAUACGAUCUACGGAUGAAAGCAGGGGACCGCAAGGCCUUGCGCGGACGGAGCGGCCGAUGGCAGAUUAGGUAGGUGGUGGGAUAAAAGCUUACCAAGCCGACGAUCUGUAGCGGGUCUGAGAGGACGACCAGCCACACGGGGACUGAGACACGGCCCAGACUCCUACGGGAGGCAGCAGUGGGGAAUUUUGGACAAUGGGCGAAAGCCUGAUCCAGCCAUGCCGCGUGCAGGAUGAAGGCCUUCGGGUUGUAAACUGCUUUUGUACGGAACGAAAAGACUCUUUCUAAUAAAGAGGGUCCAUGACGGUACCGUAAGAAUAAGCACCGGCUAACUACGUG